GGACUUGUACCAUGUUGAGAAACAAGCUCAGUAUGUAGUAUCCCAUGACUCAUCCCUCAUGUUAAUUAAUGGGGAAAUUAUUUCGAGUACUUAUUGGGAUACAGCAGCUGAAGAAAUAAACGAAAGACUUCAAGAAUGUAGCCAAAUUGCCAUUGCUGAAAUAGCAGGACAACUACAAGUUGGAUCAGAGCUAGUAGUAUCCAUUCUUGAACCUCGUCUUGGGACUUUGAUAAAAGGUAGGCUUGAAGGUGGGCAGUUGUAUACACCCGCCUAUGUUGCUCGUGUAAGUGCAAUGGUCCGUGGUGCAGCUAGGGGUAUUUUUGUCCCAAUGAACACAACAGCAUUAUGGAACUCCCUGCUGACUUUACUGCAAGAG
rnacentral:misc_RNA from 1 species